rnacentral:rRNA from 1 species
CAGGACGAACGCUGGCGGCGUGCUUAACACAUGCAAGUCGAACGGAGAUACAUUGGAGGAGAGCUCGGCAGGAAUCCGGCGUAUCUUAGUGGCGGACGGGUGAGUAACGCGUGAGCAACCUGUCCCAGACAGGGGAUAACACUUGGAAACAGGUGCUAAGUACCGCAUAAGACCACGGAGUCACAUGGCUCGAGGGGUAAAAGGAGGAAUCCGGUUUGGGGUGGGCUCGCGUCCGAUUAGAUAGUUGGUGAGGUAACGGCCCACCAAGUCGACGAUCGGUAGCCGACCUGAGAGGGUGAUCGGCCACAUUGGAACUGAGAGACGGUCCAAACUCCUACGGGAGGCAGGCAGUGGGGAAUAUUGGGCAAUGGGCGAAAAGCCUGACCCAGCAACGCCGCGUGAGUGAAGAAGGCUUUCGGGUUGUAAAGCUCUGUUAUAGGGGACGAAGGAAGUGACGGUACCCUAUAAGGAAGCCCCGGCUAACUACGUGCCAGCCGCCGC